UUUUGCCAUGUAAAUUUCAACUUAUUUAUUUUCAUAAAAUAUUUUUCUGCUCAUUCGCAGAAUGAACACAAGAGAAGUAACUCCAACUGCUCUAACGCAAGGUCGGCCUUUCACUGAGUUAAUCAUCCACCUUCAUCGUUCUUUCUCAACAAAAAGGUCUACAUUUGCUGCAGACAAGACAUGACAAAGGGUGCCAAAGUUGUAAUGGUGUUGUUGGAAAGCUUGGCAGGUACUCGACACAGAGUGAUACGAACCAGACUAAAAACUGAGGAAAAGCUAGAACAGAUAUGUAUGGAUCCCUAUGUGAGGCAACCUGUUUUAUACAAAGAAAUAAAAAAGAUACGGACCUUGAAAAGCAAGAGUUAGAAUAUACUACAGUGAGUUGUUAUUUGUAACACAUGGACCAUUCAGUACAAGAGUGUAUAAUGGGUUCUUCAAGACUGAAGGGAAAGUCGGGAAACACAGUGGAUUUUGUAGCAGCUGAUACAGUGAUAUCCAUACUUUUGUAAUUCAUGCAAGUACAGCUCAUCCUGGAGUUCCUGAUGAGUGGAAAAACCAACAGCUUCAUUGGUUGUCUUAGCAAUGACUGCUCUUUGCAUCAAGAUUAUGUGAAUGUGGUGUCAUAGCCAAUCGUGCCUGGCUGAUAGAAAUUAUUGUUGCUGAUUUUAUGAUAUGUAAUUAAACGAAGAAUGGAAAAAAA